GCGUGCGCAGGCGGUUGUGCAAGACAGAUGUGAAAUCCCCGGGCUCAACCUGGGAAUUGCAUUUGUGACUGCACGGCUAGAGUGUGUCAGAGGGGGGUAGAAUUCCACGUGUAGCAGUGAAAUGCGUAGAUAUGUGGAGGAAUACCGAUGGCGAAGGCAGCCCCCUGGGAUAACACUGACGCUCAUGCACGAAAGCGUGGGGAGCAAACAGGAUUAGAUACCCUGGUAGUCCACGCCCUAAACGAUGUCUACUAGUUGUCGGGUCUUAAUUGACUUGGUAACGCAGCUAACGCGUGAAGUAGACCGCCUGGGGAGUACGGUCGCAAGAUUAAAACUCAA
rnacentral:rRNA from 1 species